CGGGUUUCUUCAUUCUACAUAAAGUUUGCAGUGGGGAAACUAAAGUGUGUUCAUGCUUCUUCAUCUCCCUCUUUUCAGAUCCAUCAAACAGAAACUGCGGUGCCAGAAACCCUGCUGCUCUACUUGACAUUUUGUAAAAUCGCUGACGUUGUUCCUAAUGUGUCUCUUGAUCCUGCGUACAGAGGAGCUGAACACAAAGUGCCAAACAAUAUGUGAGGAGUGUGACUCCUGAACCUAGGCUUCUGGAGGGGCCUCUGGACACUCCCGGAGGAGCAUCAGGGUGUCUGGGGUUCUUCUCGGACGGUCUGGGUUCAGGGCACCUGAAGAUAGUAUGAUGGGCUCAGGGCGUCCAUUGAAGGAAAGAAGACAUCACAGAAGAAGCCAUCGUGACUUUCCGACUACCCCUUGGGUACGGUGCUGCCUACUUUUGUCCCACAACAGGUUUGAAGAAAAGAUGGAUCACAGCUUCAGCCCACAGAGGUUCUUACACACCACAGUGCUUUGGGGAAAUUACUAUUCCUUGGGGACGAGAAAACCUAAGGGGAGGCAGUGUGGUGCUGAGACCAUUGGCUCCCUGCCAUAAAUGUGUUCAUUAUUUUUUCCUUUUGUGUGUGUGUGUGUGUGUGUGUGUGUGUGUGUGUGUUAAGUUAGUUCGGGUCAGAGAUGAAAGAACUGUUCGGCCUCUUGGUUUUUUCUUGUGUUAGGUGAAAUUAGGACACUUUCUAAUACCCAUAUUCUUAGGUUGUAAAGUUCAGGGAAUAAACCACGUAAGUGCUGCUUUGAAAUGGAUCUCCGUCUCCUGCCUAUUUAUUUUUAAAGAGAACACAACGCUACAAUAUUAUAAAGUCACAUACAAUGUUGUGUACAUACAAGCAUCCUACUUGUGUCAGUAAGACAUCAUGAAAUAUUAAUCCAAUACUUUUGAAACCAGUAUAUGUUUUUGCAGGAAACAUAUUGUAGACUUAGGAAGGCAUUUUACUUUAAAUAGGUGUUCGAAUAAACAAACUCACAAUAUCUUUAAACACUCCACAGCAGUCGAUCUAUGUGCCAUGCGUUUAAAUUAAUCUUUAUGGAGGGUGCCAAUAAUUUAGCACUUUGAUGUCAUGCACUUGGCAGCUUUAAGAUUCAGCUGAUCCAAUUAAAUACUUUUUUCUUUCUCACCUCCUAGCAAACAGUUUAUCAGUAUUACAAUCUAAAGGUACAUUUGCUUUUUUUCUCUCUCCAUACUAUUAUUAAAGAAUAAUGUACUACAUAUACAUCUUUAUAUACUGUACAUUAUGUGCAAUAUUGUACAAGUUCUAAAAUAAACUGAAAAAAGGCCCCUAGAUGUAGCAAAAAAGCUUUCCAGGUGUU